UCAUAAAUAUAAAGGGAAGGGUAACCACCUUUCUGUAUACAGAACUAUAAAAUCCCUCCUGGCCAGAGGCAAAACCCUUUCAUCUGUAAAGGGUUAAGAAGCUAAUAUAACCUCAAGGGCACUUGACCAAAAUAAUCAAUGAGGAGGCAAAAUACUUUCAAAGCUGGAUGGGGGGUGGGGGACGGGUCAAAGGGUCUGUCUGUCUGUGUGUUUUGUUUUGCUG